GGCGCAGGGGGAGGGAACCUGCCCCGCCCCCUCCCGGGACCAUAAAGGCCAGGCCAGCCUGCGACCUGCUACCCCUGCUGUCCAGCAACUGAUCCAGAGUGCCCUCCGGCCCAGCCAUGAAGCUCAUCCUGUCGCUCUCGGUCUUGGCGGUGGCUCUGUUGAUGGUUUUGGAAGGCCCAGCUCCGGCCCAGGCCGACUCAGGCAUCAACGAAGACCUGAAAGCACUGGUGGCAAAGGUCCAGGAAGCCGUUGACACCGUCAAAAAUUCUAACAUCUGGAAAUGGUUUCCGGAAACAUUCGAUAAAGUAAAGGAGUCAAUAAAAAGUACAUUCUCCUGAACACCAGGAGGGCUGCCCCUUUCUUCUGUGGCUGCGCCCCUGGAGGGGGCUCUAACAUUUCCCGCACCCCGGGCCCUGUGCGGAGGACUUCCUCCAUUAUGCCCCACAUUCCCUCCCACCACCACCACCAAUAAAAAUCCUAUAGAGAAA